rnacentral:rRNA from 1 species
UACAGAGGGUGCGAGCGUUGUUCGGAAUUACUGGGCGUAAAGCGCGCGCAGGCGGCUUCCUAAGUCUGUCGGUCAAAUGCCGGGGCUCAACCCCGAGCGUGCCGGGGAUACUGGGGGGCUGGAGACAGGUAGAGGCAAGCGGAAUUCCGGGUGUAGCGGUGGAAUGCGUAGAGAUCCGGAAGAACACCGGAGGCGAAGGCGGCUUGCUGGACCUGGUCUGACGCUGAGGCGCGAAAGCGUGGGGAGCGAACAGG